UGAUAAUAGCGUAUUUACCUUCUUUUUUCAAUUUAACCACUUCAUCCGAGAGAUUUUUGCGCUUUUCUAUUAUUUCCUUUGCAAAGUCUUUGUUUAUGAACAAACCUGUUCCGCGUAGUUUUUUUUGAGCUUUGUAGAAUAAACGUGAGAAGGAACAUGAGAAGGCUCUCAAUAAAUUGAUGUGUGGUAUUGUUUUAAAUUCCAAUAAUAAUUGUGAUUGUCUAAUAGACCUCUCCUUAAAAAUUUCAUUAUUUCACAAGUGUGCUUGCUUUUAAUAUUCAAACAUUUUGAAUUUUGGAUAGUUAAAUAAGUUGAUUAGAAAUAAGUUGUGGUAAAUUGAUCAGAUUUAUUUGAGUGACACAAUUCGAAAAAAUUCUUUGUUGCUCCGCACAAACAAAUAGAUGCAUUGUUAGGCUGGUGACACCAAAGUAUGUAAAUGAGUUUAAAUCACCUUUUGCCAACUUUUUAAUGGUUUGGAUUUUAUAUACAAAUUUGUAAAGUAUACAGUUGCCAUUAGUUAGCAUGUUAAAAAAAGUUUAAAACUCAUGCAAAAAGUUAUUAAGUAUGUGUAUUCAAUUAAAUGCAGAAGUCAUAGAAAGAUACUGGAAAUACUAAAUGAUAUUGAUUAUCUAGUUAACAUUGUCAGCAAAAACUGCAACUUCUUCAAAAGUUUAAUCGAUAAAGAACUUAUUUAAUGUUGUGUUUUUAGUUUGUUAUAGUAACUAUUGUUAUUAUCUGUUUAUUAGUUAUUAUAGUAAUUAUUGUCAAUAACUGGUGUAGUUAUCUACGUACUGGUUUAGCAGGCUAGAUCCAAGCUUCCUUCAACAUUUAUUAGAUUAUAAA
rnacentral:lncRNA from 1 species